AAGAGGAAAAAGAAAGUCGACAUAGAUGAACAAGACUCAGAGGUUCAAUUUAGCUUGGCAGCAAUGGCACCUACAUUACCAGAAUCAUUGAAGAUGUAAUGUAUGUAGGGUGAGUCUGCAUUUAGAGAUGGGCAUACCAUCAACUUCAUCAUGGAACCUGAAGUAUUUGGAUAUUCUCGAAAGACUUUUAUUUUGGGAUCAGAUGUUAGGCGACUUGCAAGCAUGAGAGAAGUCUCUGGAAAUUGCAUUGCUGUGUACCAGAGGUACCUAUAUGAGCAGUUCACUGCUUAUAAAAUGGUGGACAUGGUUGCAUUUGUUGACCCUUCACGAAUUGGUGGAAAAUGAAGUGGGAAUGGAACUGUGAGGGCCCAACACAUAAGAGAUAGGCUUCUAACUGCCAAACCAGGCCAAAUGUUCAUGUUGCCAUAUAACUCGGGUGAUCAUUGGAUGUUGACAAUUGCUGAUCCUGACCGAGGUACUGCAUAUUUUAUGGAUCCUUUGAAAAAACGCUUACCCACUGAAGAUUGGAUGUCUAUUAUGGAAACGUAAGUCGCUGUUACUAA